GGGCCCGCACAAGCGGUGGAGUAUGUGGUUUAAUUCGAUGCAACGCGAAGAACCUUACCAGGGUUUGACAUCCUGCGAAUCUCUUGGAAACGAGAGAGUGCCUUCGGGAGCGCAGUGACAGGUGGUGCAUGGCUGUCGUCAGCUCGUGUCGUGAGAUGUUGGGUUAAGUCCCGCAACGAGCGCAACCCACGUCUUUAGUUGCCAGCAUUUAGUUGGGCACUCUAGAGAGACCGCCGGUGAUAAACCGGAGGAAGGUGUGGAUGACGUCAAGUCAUCAUGCCCCUUACAUCCUGGGCUACACACGUACUACAAUGCUACGGACAAAGAGCAGCCACUACGCGAGUAGGAGCG
rnacentral:rRNA from 1 species